GAUGAACGCUGGCGGCGUGCCUAAUACAUGCAAGUCGAGCGAACAGACGAGGAGCUUGCUCCUCUGACGUUAGCGGCGGACGGGUGAGUAACACGUGGAUAACCUACCUAUAAGACUGGGAUAACUUCGGGAAACCGGAGCUAAUACCGGAUAAUAUAUUGAACCGCAUGGUUCAAUAGUGUAAGACGGUUUUGCUGUCACUUAAAGAUGUUUCCGCGCCGCAUUAGCUAGUUGGUAAGGUAACGGCUUACCAAGGCAACGAUGCGUAGCCGACCUGAGAGGGUGAUCGGCCACACUGGAACUGAGACACGGUCCAGACUCCUACGGGAGGCAGCAGUAGGGAAUCUUCCGCAAUGGGCGAAAGCCUGACGGAGCAACGCCGCGUGAGUGAUGAAGGUCUUCGGAUCGUAAAGCUCUGUUAUUAGGGAAGAACAACUGUGUAAGUAACUAUGCACGUCUUGACGGUACCUAAUCAGAAAGCAACGGCUAACUACGUG
rnacentral:rRNA from 1 species